rnacentral:rRNA from 1 species
AGUGAACGCUGGCGGUAGGCCUAACACAUGCAAGUCGAACGGCAGCACAGUAAGAGCUUGCUCUUACGGGUGGCGAGUGGCGGACGGGUGAGGAAUACAUCGGAAUCUACUUUUUCGUGGGGGAUAACGUAGGGAAACUUACGCUAAUACCGCAUACGACCUACGGGUGAAAGCAGGGGAUCUUCGGACCUUGCGCGAUUGAAUGAGCCGAUGUCGGAUUAGCUAGUUGGCGGGGUAAAGGCCCACCAAGGCGACGAUCCGUAGCUGGUCUGAGAGGAUGAUCAGCCACACUGGAACUGAGACACGGUCCAGACUCCUGCGGGAGGCAGCAGUGGGGAAUAUUGGACAAUGGGCGCAAGCCUGAUACAGCCAUACCGCGUGGGUGAAGAAGGCCUUCGGGUUGUAAAGCCCUGUUGUUGGGAAAGAAAAGCAGCAGGUUAAUACCCCGCUGUUCUGACGGUACCCAAAGAAUAAGCACCGGCUAACUUCGUG